rnacentral:lncRNA from 1 species
CACCUUUUCCUUAUCGCUGGCUUCCCGGGACACUAGGGAACCCUCUUCUUACCUUGAGGUCAUACUUCCUGUGCACAGGAAGACGGUGGCUAAACAUAUUGCGCAUCACAAGCAUGUAGCUGUCUUCGUUGUCCACACUGACUCGGUACAUCCCCAGGAACUGGGGCAGAAGCGUGUUGCCAUGGCACUUCACAAUGUACU